rnacentral:rRNA from 1 species
GGAACUGCAUUCGAAACUGGCAGGCUAGAGUCUUGUAGAGGGGGGUAGAAUUCCAGGUGUAGCGGUGAAAUGCGUAGAGAUCUGGAGGAAUACCGGUGGCGAAGGCGGCCCCCUGGACAAAGACUGACGCUCAGGUGCGAAAGCGUGGGGAGCAAACAGGAUUAGAUACCCUGGUAGUCCACGCCGUAAACGAUGUCGAUUUGGAGGUUGUGCCCUUGAGGCGUGGCUUCCGGAGCUAACGCGUUAAAUCGACCGCCUGGGGAGUACGGCCGCAAGGUUAAAACUCAAAUGAAUUGACGGGGGCCCGCACAAGCGGUGGAGCAUGUGGUUUAAUUCGAUGCAACGCGAAGAACCUUACCUGGUCUUGACAUCCACAGAACUUGCCAGAGAUGGCUUGGUGCCUUCGGGAACUGUGAGACAGGUGCUGCAUGGCUGUCGUCAGCUCGUGUUGUGAAAUGUUGGGUUAAGUCCCGCAACGAGCGCAACCCUUAUCCUUUGUUGCCAGCGGU